GACGAACGCUGGCGGCGUGCUUAACACAUGCAAGUCGAACGGUAAGGCCCUUCGGGGUACACGAGUGGCGAACGGGUGAGUAACACGUGAGCAACCUGCCCCUGACUCUGGGAUAAGCGCUGGAAACGGCGUCUAAUACUGGAUAUGUGAUGUGACCGCAUGGUCUGCAUCUGGAAAGAAGGUCGGUUGGGGAUGGGCUCGCGGCCUAUCAGCUUGUUGGUGAGGUAAUGGCUCACCAAGGCGUCGACGGGUAGCCGGCCUGAGAGGGUGACCGGCCACACUGGGACUGAGACACGGCCCAGACUCCUACGGGAGGCAGCAGUGGGGAAUAUUGCACAAUGGGCGGAAGCCUGAUGCAGCAACGCCGCGUGAGGGAUGACGGCCUUCGGGUUGUAAACCUCUUUUAGCAGGGAAGAAGCGAAAGUGACGGUACCUGCAGAAAAAGCACCGGCUAACUACGUGCCAGCCGCCGCAGUAA
rnacentral:rRNA from 1 species